AGAUUGAACGCUGGCGGCAUGCCUUACACAUGCAAGUCGAACGGCAGCACGGGAGCAAUCCUGGUGGCGAGUGGCGAACGGGUGAGUAAUACAUCGGAACGUGCCCAAUCGUGGGGGAUAACGCAGCGAAAGCUGUGCUAAUACCGCAUAAGAUCUACGGAUGAAAGCAGGGGAUCGCAAGACCUUGCGCGAAUGGAGCGGCCGAUGGCAGAUUAGGUAGUUGGUGAGGUAAAGGCUCACCAAGCCUUCGAUCUGUAGCUGGUCUGAGAGGACGACCAGCCACGACUGGGACUGAGACACGGCCCAGACUCCGACGGGAGGCAGCAGGUGGGGAAUUUUGGACAAGUGGGGGAAACCCUGUACUCCGAGACCACUACCCGGCGUA
rnacentral:rRNA from 1 species